rnacentral:rRNA from 1 species
UACGAAGGGGCUAGCGUUGUUCGGAAUUACUGGGCGUAAAGCGUGCGCAGGCGGCUUCUCAAGUCAGGGGUGAAAGCCCAGAGCUCAACUCUGGAAUUGCCUUUGAUACUGAGGAUCUUGAGUUCGGGAGAGGUGAGUGGAACUGCGAGUGUAGAGGUGAAAUUCGUAGAUAUUCGCAAGAACACCAGUGGCGAAGGCGGCUCACUGGCCCGAUACUGACGCUGAGGCACGAAAGCUAGGGGAGCAAACAGG